rnacentral:rRNA from 1 species
GAUGAACGCUGGCGGCGUGCCUAAUACAUGCAAGUCGAGCGAACAGACGAGGAGCUUGCUCCUCUGACGUUAGCGGCGGACGGGCGAGUAACACGUGGAUAACCUACCUAUAAGACUGGGAUAACUUCGGGAAACCGGAGCUAAUACCGGAUAAUAUAUUGAACCGCAUGGUUCAAUAGUGAAAGACGGUUUUGCUGUCACUUAUAGAUGGAUCCGCGCCGCAUUAGCUAGUUGGUAAGGUAACGGCUUACCAAGGCAACGAUGCGUAGCCGACCUGAGAGGGUGAUCGGCCACACUGGAACUGAGACACGGUCCAGACUCCUACGGGAGGUAGCAGUAGGGAAUCUUCCGCAAUGGGCGAAAGCCUGACGGAGCAACGCCGCGUGAGUGAUGAAGGUCUUCGGAUCGUAAAACUCUGUUAUUAGGGAAGAACAAAUGUGUAAGUAACUAUGCACGUCUUGACGGUACCUAAUCAGAAAGCCACGGCUAACUACGUG